rnacentral:rRNA from 1 species
AGGACGAACGCUGGCGGCGCGCUUAACACAUGCAAGUCGAGCGAGAACCUGGCCUUCGGGCCUGGGGAAAGCGGCGAACGGGUGAGUAACACGUGGGUAACCCACCCUUGGUACUGGGAUAGCCCGGGGAAACCCGGAUUAAUACCGGAUGGCCCAACAGCUCUUAGGGGCGGUUGGAAAAGGUAGCUUCGACCUCCGACCAAGGACGGGCCCGCGGCGGAUUAGCUUGUUGGUGGGGUAACGGCCUACCAAGGCGACGAUCCGUAGCUGGUCUGAGAGGACGAUCAGCCACACUGGGACUGAGACACGGCCCAGACUCCUACGGGAGGCAGCAGUGGGGAAUCUUGCGCAAUGGGCGAAAGCCUGACGCAGCGACGCCGCGUGGGGGGAAGAAGGCUUUCGGGGUUGUAAACCCCUUUUCAGGAAGGACGAAGCUACUCGGGUUAAUAGCCCAGAGGGUGACGGUACUUCCAGAAGAAGCCCCGGCUAACUACGCGCCAGCAGCCGC